AGGGUGCCAGCAGCCGGGGUAAUUCCAGUUCCAAUAGGGUAUAUUAAAGUUGUUGCAGUUAAAAAGUUGGUAGUUGAAUUUGGGGGUCAGUAGGUCGGUCGUGCCACUGGUAUGCACUGGUCUCAGGAUUCCUCCUUCUGAAGAACCGUAAUGC
rnacentral:rRNA from 1 species